rnacentral:rRNA from 1 species
UUCGCAAUGCCCGAAAGGGUGACGAAGCGACGCCGCGUGUGGGAAGAAGGCCUUCGGGUUGUAAACCACUGUCGGGAGUUAAGAAAUGUAAGGAUGUUAAUAGCGUUCUUACUUGACUAAGGCUCCAGAGGAAGCCACGGCUAACUCUGUGCCAGCAGCCGCGGUAAUACAGAGGCGGCAAGCGUUGUUCGGAAUUAUUGGGCGUAAAGAGCACGUAGGCGGCCCUGAAAGUCAGUUGUGAAAGCCUUCUGCUUAACAGAAGAACAGCAUCUGAUACUACAGGGCUAGAGUGCGGGAGGGGAGAGUGGAACUUCUGGUGGAGCGGUGAAAUGCGUAGAUAUCAGAAGGAACGCCGGCGGCGAAAGCGGCUCUCUGGCCCGUAACUGACGCUGAGUGUGCGAAAGCUAGGGGAUCAAACGGGAUUAGAUACCCCGGUAGUCCUAGCCGUAAACGAUGGGCACUAAGUAGAGGGGUUUUA